AACAAAAUUAUUCGCCAGAGAACUACUAGCAACAGCUUAAAACUCAAAGGACUUGGCGGUGCUUCACAACCAUCUAGAGGAGCCUGUUCUAUAAUCGAUAAUCCCCGAUAAACCUCACCACUUCUUGCUAAUCCAGCUUAUAUACCGCCAUCUCCAGCAAACCCUAACAAGGAGAAAAAGUAAGCGCAAGUACACACGUAAACACGUUAGGUCAAGGUGUAGCCCAUGGAGUGGGAAGAAAUGGGCUACAUUUUCUAGUCAAGAAUAUGUACGACAAUCUUUAUGAAAAUUAAAGAUCUAAGGAGGAUUUAGUAGUAAAUUAAG
rnacentral:rRNA from 1 species